UUUCAGUAUCUCGGAAAUCCGCUUUGUUGACCCUGGUUACUAACUUCACUCAUACUCAGUUACAGCACAAUUAAUCAUUUAUUUCAAGUGUUCCUAAUUGUGUUGUCCACAAAGUUUAUACAUCUAUGGUCGUAUUUAUUUACCUGGAAAGCACCUGUCUUAAGGAUAUAUGAAGAUGGAUUCUGGCGAUGUAUAACAACACUUCAAGCCGCCAGCUCUUAGUAUGGAUAAAAACAACGUUUUACAAAGUAAG